GUGCUCACUUUGGCAGCAUCUAUACUAAAAUGGGAAUGAUACAGAAAUUAGCACGGUCCAUAUAUAGAGGUGACAUGCAAAUUUGUGAAGCAUUCCAUAUUUCU